rnacentral:rRNA from 1 species
UUUAAGGUCUAACCUGCCCAAUGAGGAUUUAAAUGGCCGCAGUAUUUUGACUGUGCAAAGGUAGCAUAAUUAUUAGUUUUUUAAUUGAAAGCUUGUAUGAAGGGUUGGACGAGAUAAAAUCUGUCUUUAUUUAAAUUAAAGUAUAAUUUAACUUUUAAGUCAAAAGGCUUAAAUGUUUAUAAAAGACGAGAAGACCCUAUAGAUCUUUAUUUAGUUAAGAUUUUAAUAAUUUAGGAUUAUUUUAAUUUGGAGUCUUAAUUGAAUUUUAUUGGGGUAAUAUAAAGAUUAAAUGAAUUCUUUUUAUUUAUGACAUUAAUUUAUGAAUAUAUGAUCCAUUAAUAUUGAUUAUAAGAUUAAGUUACCUUAGGGAUAACAGCGUAAUUUUUUUGGAGAGCUCAUAUCGAUAAGAAAGUUUGCGACCUCGAUGUUGGAUUAAAAAUUAGCUUGGGUGCAGAAGCUCAAGAUUUUGGUCUGUUCGACCAUUAAAUUUUUACAUGAUCUGAGUUCAGACCGGCGUAAGCCAGGUCGGUUUCUAUCUUUAUUCAAAUAAAAUAUUUUAGUACGAAAGGACCAAGUAUUUAAUAUAAUUAUAUUUAUUUUUUGAAGAAUAUU